rnacentral:rRNA from 1 species
GACGAACCGGACGAACGGUAUUCGGAAUUACUGGGCUUAAAGCGUGCGUAGGCGGCCGAGAAGGUGAGGUGUGAAAUCCCACGGCUCAACCGUGGAAUGGCGCUUCAAACCACUCGGCUCGAGGGAGACAGGGGUGAGCGGAACUGAUGGUGGAGCGGUGAAAUGCGUUGAUAUCAUCAGGAACACCGGUGGCGAAGGCGGCUCACUGGGUCUCUUCUAACGCUGAGGCACGAAAGCUAGGGUAGCGAACGGG